GGGAAACCCGGCCGGACAAACUCCGGUCGACCUUAAGUAAAUACAUAGCUUAAGGCAGGGAACCCGGUGAACUGAAACAUCUAAGUAGCCGGAGGAAGAGAAAACAACAAGUGAUUUUGGGAGUAGCGGCGAGCGAAACCGAAAGAGCCCAAACCGACGUGCGUGCAUGUCGGGGUUCGGACUGCAAACGUGAAUUACCGAGGGUAGCAGAACGGUCCUGGAAAGACCGGCCAAAGAGGGUGAGAGCCCCGUAAGCGAAACUUAAGGUAACAUAGCAGUAUCCAGAGUACCACGAGACACGAGAAACCUUGUGGGAACGCGCGGGGACCACCCCGUAAGGCUAAAUACUCCUUAGUGACCGAUAGCGCAUAGUACUGUGAAGGAAAGGUGAAAAGGACCCCGGGAGGGGAGUGAAAGAGAACCUGAAACCCUGUGUUUACAAGCUGUGGAAC
rnacentral:rRNA from 1 species